AAAAUAAGUGAAAGAAAUAAUAUAAAAAGUGAGUGGAGAAAUUAUGUGAAAUAAAAUAUAAUAAAAAAAUGAAUAGAAAAAGUUAAUGUGGAAAAUAAGUGAAAAAAAUAAUAUAAAAAUUUAGUGGAGAAAGUAGGUGAAAUAAAAAUAGUAAAUAGUAAAAGUUAAUGUGGAAAAUAAGUUAAAGAAAUAAUAUAAAAAGUUGGUGGAGAAAGUGGAUGAAAUAAAAUAUGAUAAAUAGUAAAAGUUAAUGUGGAAAAUAAGUUAAAGAAAUAAUAUAAAAAGUUGGUGGAAAAGAUAUAUAAUAAAAAAAAGUAAGUGAAAUUAUUAGAAAAAAUGGUAUAUUAAAAAAAUGAAAAUGAGGUGGAAAAAGUAGGUGAUGUGGAAGAUGAUGUGAGGGUGAUGUGGAGAUUGGGGUGUGAGAAGAAAAAAUAGUGGUGAGGAAGUAAAAAAACAUGAGGUUAUUUUGGGCCAUUGGGCCAAGGAUUAAAAAGUUAAUUUGGUGCAAAUAGUAAAACGAAAUAGUAUUUUUUUUAUUUUUCGUUUUUUUUCUAUUUUCUUUUUCUUUUUCUUUUUUUUUAUUUAAAAACUAAACAAAAAUAGUAAAAUAAAAAUUAAAAAUAAAAUGAAAUAAGACAACAGUAAAAUCAAGUCCUAUUAUUUAAUCACCUGGACGAAAUUGGAUGUUGACAGCUGCCCCUUUUUACUUAGAUUUUACUAGAUGAUAUGAAAAUUUGAUAUUUUUGUAUUAUCU
rnacentral:lncRNA from 1 species